AUGGAGACGAAGAUGUUGGUUGAGAAAGUGGUGCAACUGAUUAACGAGGGUUUCACUGGCCUGGACCUGCUGGAGGUAUUCCUCAGUCGAUGCAUCCAGCCUCUUCAGGCCCGUGACCAUCCCAUGUGGCUGUACUCUGGGUCCGACGACACCGCUCGGGUUCAUCCAGAGGAAGUGCCACCCAAGACCGUAGCCAUGUGGUUGAAGAGCAUCACAGGCAACCAGAACAACCCCAGAGGAGCUAGGCGAGUCAUCCCCUUUAGUGAUGACAAUCAGCCCGACAAGGUUUUCACUGAAAUGUAUUUGAUGCCCAACGGUGAACAAGCUCUGGAGCAGGACCAGGAGGGAGAGGCCCGCGUGGAGGAGAGCGGUGAAUGGGAAUCUUCGGACGAAGACGAGGAGGAGGAGAGCGAGGAGUCGGACGAUGAGGAAGAAGUCGACUUGCCGCCGCGCUCCGAACGCUGA
rnacentral:rRNA from 1 species